UACGUAGGGUGCAAGCGUUGUCCGGAAUUAUUGGGCGUAAAGAGCUCGUAGGCGGUCUGUCGCGUCUGGUGUGAAAAUCCAGGGCUUAACCCUGGACCUGCAUCGGGUACGGGCAGACUAGAGUGUGGUAGGGGAGACUGGAAUUCCUGGUGUAGCGGUGAAAUGCGCAGAUAUCAGGAGGAACACCGGUGGCGAAGGCGGGUCUCUGGGCCGAUACUGACGCUGAGGAGCGAAAGCGUGGGGAGCGAACAGG
rnacentral:rRNA from 1 species